AAUUAAGUGUGGGAGGAAGUAGGUGCUUGAACUUCUUACUGCUCUGUCGGACAGGCAGGUUGUCUUGUGAAAUGUUCAGGAAGACCCAACAUGCUGUGACCCACAUACACUCGAGUGUGUUUACCAAGAGUCCAUGAGUUGGAUGUGAUAUCUUCUCUGAGGCGAAGAGAGCGGAAGCUCAGUCUAUCUAUGCAUUUGGAGGUGGUCCUUCGGGAGGAAACUAGGGUUGGGCUCCAUCAGAUCAUCAGAGUAGAAGCCCAUGAAUAAAUGCUGGAAGCUUAAUUGAAGCAGGGUGCGACCGGAAUGCACACAGAUGUCCCCAUCUCUGGCCAUGUGCUGCCAUGGGGUUCUUCUAUCAAGGUCAUCACAGGAUGUGACUGACCCCUUGACUGUGGAGCAGAGCUGGCUGACUACUGCCUCAUUGAAGUCUGGGCUUGACUUUGGGGAAAAUCUCUGAUUUAGUCGCACUCGUGGUGGCAACAACUAGG